rnacentral:misc_RNA from 1 species
CGCAUAUUGCGCCCUUUGGUAUUCCGAAGGGCAUGCCUGUUCGAGCGUCAUUAUCACCUAUCAAGCUAGGCUUGUUAUUGGACUUUUUGGUUUCACGACCGGUCUGAAAGAUAGUAGACAGGACCUGACAGCCCUGGAUAUAACAAGCUUUUGAAAGCACAUAUCUGUCGGACAGUGGGCCUGUCUUUAAGCCCCCUAUUUUCUCAGGUUGACCUCGGAUCAGGUAGGAAUACCCGCUGAACUUAA